AACAUUGACUUUCGGCCGCCGAAAGUGGGUUUUCAACCAGCCCCCUAAGUGUAACCUUCGGCUUCCGAAAGUGAGGGACAGAGACGAAAGUCCCACACUUUCGGCCGCCGAACAUUUAACCUUCGGCCGCCGAAAGUGUGUUUUGGGUCUGCCUCCGAAGCCUAAAGUUUGGCUUCCGAAAGUGAGGAACAGAAACGAAAGUCCACCAUGUUCGGCCGCCGAACAUUGAGUUUAGGCCGCCGAAAGUUCAGUUUUAAAGGAAUAGUUUCUUCGCCC
rnacentral:lncRNA from 1 species